CAAGAUAAAAACAAAGUAACACACACAUUGCCAAUCACUCGCUUGACAAUAUGUGGUUCUUUAUUUUAAUCCUAACCAUUGAAUAUCAGUAAUUAAAGGCUAUUGUUUACGAACUUAUUCUCUCAUCCAAUCAAAUAAUCAGAAAAUAAAAAAAAAUAAGAAAAAAUUGAGGAUAGUAAACUUGAGCCCUUGACUUCUUUGUUUUAAUCCUGACCAUUGAAUCUGAUUAAUCAAU
rnacentral:lncRNA from 1 species